rnacentral:rRNA from 1 species
UUGGCGGACGGGUGAGUAACACGUGAGCAACCUGCCUUUGAGAGGGGAAUAACGGCUGGAAACGGUCGCUAAUACCGCAUAAUGUACGGAUGGGACAUCCUGUCUGUACCAAAGAUUUAUCGCUCGAAGAUGGGCUCGCGUCCGAUUAGGUAGUUGGUGAGGUAACGGCCCACCAAGCCGACGAUCGGUAGCCGGACUGAGAGGUUGAACGGCCACAUUGGGACUGAGACACGGCCCAGACUCCUACGGAAGGCAGCAG